rnacentral:lncRNA from 1 species
UGCCAUCACCCAAGCAGAUCGAGAGCUUUCUUCAAGACAGGUCUGAACCUGUUCAAAUCAAUCUUGACAUUUUGUUUCUUCAUGUAUAUGUUCGCCAUCGCGAGCCAUCCAAGCUUGUGAAUCGAGUCCGGGUCUCUAAAGACGGGAUCGUCUCUCGGGUACUGCUCCGAAAGAGUGCUUUCCUAUUGGCUGAUGGUGUACUGCAGGUAAUGCAGCUUGGCAGCCAUGGGAGGGUCUCCGUAAUCGUGUUUGGCCAUCCCUUCCAGGUUACCUAAAGGGACGACUUGGAUGACCACAGCAUUUGUCGGCAGGAAGAAGAAAUUAGUGAGCCCGGAGCCAUGCACGCCGAGCAUCACGUCGCAUGAGUUCACGGUCGCUGCGUACUCGCUCACGUUGGCUUCGAACUUCGCAUCUGCCACCACCACCUCGUAACUCAACUCCUCGGCCAUCCGAACGAUCUCUUUGACGUUGGUGAACUUCCUGGUGCCCUUCCUGGCUAUGAGCAGCAGCCUCGGUUUCUUGCCCGCCUGUUCUCCCAUCCUAAUGCCGGAUUCCCUUACGAGCGAGUAAGCCAUCCUUAUGAACUCGGUGUAGUCAGCGGUGGAGUACCCGUUUGGUGUUCUUGCAGGGUCGACCUUCAAGUCGUCGUGGCUGUGCAGGCCGACGAACACAAGCGGGUAGCAGAGGACUCGAUCGUUCUUGUCCAAAUCGAUGAUCUCGUACCUAGUAAGCUUUUCGACGAUGUGGCGGUACUUGAAGAGCC